rnacentral:lncRNA from 1 species
AAGACGGGCAGCGCCCUGCCGUCGAGCGGCCCCAAGUGGGUGCCCAUUCCGGCGCAGCCGGAAAGCAAGUGGGUGCCCAUUCCGGCGCAGCCGGAAAGCCCGCUGCCGACGGGCGUCUCGAAAGCAACAGCCCUCGCGGAGGCGAAAUCGGGAACGCCGUCGCAGCAGAGCCUGCCUAAGGCCAUGCCGGCAACACCGUCGCACCAGGGCUUACCGAAAUCGCUGCCCAUUGAGGCGAGAUUGACGCUACUGUCGCAGCAGAGCCUGCCGAAGGCCAUGCCUGUUGUUGAGCCGAGAUUGGUGGCACAGUUGCAGCAGAGCCUGCCGAAGGCCAUGCCUGUUGUUGAGGCGAGACUGACAGCACCGUCGCAGCAGUGUCUGCCCAAGGCCAUGCCUGUUGUUGACUCGAAAUUGGCAACAGCGUCGCAGCAGAGCCUGCCCAAAGCCAUGCCUGCUGUCGAGCCAAGAUUGGCAACACCGUCACAGCAGAGCCUACCAAAGGCCAUGCCUGUUGUUGACUCAAAAUUAGCAACAGCCUCACAACCAAGCCUGCCCAAGGCCAUGCCUGUUGUCGAGCCAAGAUUGGCAACACCAUCGCAGCCGAGCCUGCCCAAGGCGAUGCCUGUUGUUGACUCGAAAUUGGCCGCACUGUCGCAGCCGAGCCUGCCCAAGGCCAUGCCUGUUGUUGAGCCGAGAUUGGCAACACCGUCACAGCAGAGCCUGCCCAAGGCCAUGCCUGUUGUCGAGCCAAGAUUGGCAACACCGUCGCAGCCGAGCCUGCCCAAGGCCAUGCCUGUUGUCGAGCCGAGAUUGGCAACAGCGUCACAGCAGAGCCUGCCCAAAGCAAUGCCCGUUGUCGAGGUGAAGUCAGCAACGCCGUCACAGCAGAGUCCGCCAAAGGCAACGCCUGAUGAGGUGAAGUCAGCAACGCCGUCGCAGCAGAGUCCGCCAAAGGCAACGCCUGAUGAGGUGAAGUCAGCAACACCGUCAGAGCAGAGCCUCCCAAAUGCAGUGCCUGUUGUCGAGGUGAAAUCCGCAACACCGUCACAGCAGAGCCUGCCCAAAGCAAUGCCUGUUGUCGAGGCAAGAUUGGCAACACCGUCACAGCAGAGCCUGCCCAAAGCAAUGCCUGUUGUCGAGAUGAAAUCGGGAACCCCGUCGCAGCAGAGCCUCACAAAACCAGCGCCCACCGUCGAGGUGAAAUCGGCAAGCCCCCUUCCCCAGAGCCAGUCGAAACCAACACCCGUCACAACAGCACAGGCGGCCGCUCCGCCGUGCCAGAGCCCCUCCAAACCAGUGCCCGUCGUGGUGACACAGCCGGCACCUCCGCCAGGGCAGAGCCUCCCGAAACCGCCGCCUGUUGCCACAGCCCAGCCAGGCCUGACC